rnacentral:rRNA from 1 species
UACGUAGGGGGCGAGCGUUGUCCGGAGUUACUGGGCGUAAAGCGCACGCAGGCGGUCUGUUAAGUUUGGAGUGACAGUUGGUGGCUUAACUGCCAAAGUGCUUCGAAAACUGACAGACUUGAGGGCUUCAGAGGGACACGGAAUUCCGGGUGGAGUGGUGAAAUGCGUAGAGAUCCGGAGGAACACCAAAGGCGAAGGCAGUGUCCUGGGGAGUACCUGACGC